rnacentral:tRNA from 1 species
GGAGAGGUACCGAAGUGGUCAUAACGGGGGCGCCUCGAAAGCGCUUAGGGGCGGUGACGCCCCACGCGGGUUCGAAUCCCGCCCUCUCCGCCA